rnacentral:rRNA from 1 species
GACGUACGGCGCGAGCGUUGUCCGGAUUUAUUGGGCGUAAAGAGCUCGUAGGCGGCUUGUCACCUCGACCGUGAAAACUUGGGGCUCAACCCCAAGCCUGCGGUCGAUACGGGCAGGCUCGAGUUCGGUAGGGGAGACUGGAAUUCCUGGUGUAGCGGUGAAAUGCGCAGAUAUCAGGAGGAACACCGGUGGCGAAGGCGGGUCUCUGGGCCGAUACUGACGCUGAGGAGCGAAAGCGUGGGGAGCGAACAGG